rnacentral:rRNA from 1 species
UGUUGCUUGCAAGGGCGUAUGGUGGAUGCCUUGGCAGACAGGACCGAUGAAGGACGUUUGAGGCUGCGAUAUGCCUCGGGGAGCCGCCAACAGGGCUUUGAUCCGAGGAUUUCCGAAUGGGGGAACCCACCGACCGUCAUGGGUCGGUACCGGCUUCGGCCGGGGGGUACGCAGGGAAGUGAAACAUCUCAGUACCUGCAGGAAAGGAUAUUCCGUGAGUAGUGGCGAGCGAAAGCGGAUGAUGGCCAAACCUUGCGCGUGUGAUACCCGUCGGGGGUUGCGCGCGGGGUGUUGCGGGAUCGCGUGCGCCGGCUCCGACGGGCCGGCCGGCAGUUGCAGAAAACCAUGUGUCAGGGGAACCGGGUUGAAUACCGGGCCGCAGAGGGUGAGGGCCCCGUACCUGAACGCGCAUGGUCUGCCGAUCGCGUCUCCCAAGUAGCACGGGUCCCGUGGAACCCCGUGCGAAUCCGCCCAGACCGUUGGGUAAGCCUGAAUAUUCCUGUCUGACCGAUAGCGAACGAGUACCGUGAGGGAAAGGUGAAAAGUACCCCGGGAGGGGAGUGAAACAGUCUCUGAAACCGUGCGCCUACAAUCCGUCGGAGCCCUUUUGUGGGGUGACGGCGUGCCUAUCGAAAAAUGAGUCUGCGAGUCAGUGGCAUGUGGCGAGCAUAACCCGUGUGGGGUAUGCGUAGCGAAGGCGAGUCUUAAAAGGCGUUUGAGUCGCGUGUCCUGGACCCGAAGCGGGAUGAUCUAGCCCUGAGCAGGUUGAAGCGCGGGUAAGACCGCGUGGAGGACCGAACCCACCUGGGUUGAAAACCGGGGGGAUGACUUGGGGCUAGGGGUGAAAGGCCAAUCAAAUUCCGUGAUAGCUGGUUCUCUCCGAAAUGCAUUUGGGUGCAGCGUCGGGUCAUUACGUCCCGGGGGUAGAGCUACUGGAUGCUUGCGGGCCCGUAUCGGGUACCAACAGCAACCAAACUCCGAAUACCGGUGACGCGUAUCCCGGCAGUGAGUCGGCGGGGGAUAAGCUUCGUCGUCGAAAGGGAAACAGCCCAGACCGUCGUCUAAGGUCCCGAAGCGUGUGCUAAGUGGGAAAGGAUGUGGAGUCGCAUAGACAGCCAGGAGGUUGGCUCAGAAGCAGCCACCCUUGAAAGAGUGCGUAACAGCUCACUGGUCUAGUGGUUCCGCGCCGACAAUGUAGCGGGGCUCAAGCACACCACCGAAGACGCGGCAGUAUUUUGUACUGGGUAGGAGAGCGUCCCAUGAGGGGCGAAGCGGCCGUGUGAACGCGCCGUGGACUUCAUGGGAGUGAGAAUGCAGACAUGAGUAGCGAGAGACGGGUGAAGAUCCCGUCCGCUGGAUGACCAAGGGUUCCAGGGCCACGUUCAUCGUCCCUGGGUGAGUCGGGUCCUAAGGCGAGGCCGACAGGCGUAGUCGAAUGGAUGAACGGGUCGAUAUUCCCGUACCGGCUUUCAGCCGCCAAAACCGAGGCUUGGAGUACUAACCUCCGGGUCCGGGCUUACUGCUCCUUCGGGGGCGGGAUGCCCUGGCCUGUUGGGACCGAUCCUUGUAGUAGGUCAGCGCAGGAGUGACGCAGAAGGGUAGCCGGCCGCGGAGGUGGUCUUCCGUGGUCAAGCACGCAGGGCGUGGGACAGGCAAAUCCGUCCCGCAUGGGUCCGAGGUGCGAUGAUGGGGGCCUUAUGGCCCGAUAUCCGGUGAUCCCGGCUGCCGAGAAAAGCUUCGGCGUCAGGCUCAAAGCCGCCCGUACCCCAAACCGACACUGGUGGUCAGGUAGAGAAUACCAAAGCGAUCGAGCGAAUCCUGGUCAAGGAACUCGGCAAAUCACUCCCGUUCCUUCGGUUUAAGGGAGACCCCCGAUGGUGAACACACUUGCUGUGGGAGCUUUUGGGGGUGGCACAGACCAGGGGGUAGCGACUGUUUACCAAAAACACAGGUGCAUGCGAAGGCGCAAGCCGCUGUAUAUGCACUGACGCCUGCCCGGUGCCGGAAGGUUAAGAGGAUCCGUCAGCCUUCGGGUGAAGCGGUGAAUUCAAGCCCCGGUAAACGGCGGUGGUAACUAUAACCAUCCUAAGGUAGCGAAAUUCCUUGUCGGGUAAGUUCCGACCUGCACGAAUGGCGUA